rnacentral:rRNA from 1 species
GAACGAACUCUGGUAUUGAUUGGUGCUUGCAUCAUGAUUUACAUUUGAGUGAGUGGCGAACUGGUGAGUAACACGUGGGAAACCUGCCCAGAAGCGGGGGAUAACACCUGGAAACAGAUGCUAAUACCGCAUAACAACUUGGACCGCAUGGUCCGAGUUUGAAAGAUGGCUUCGGCUAUCACUUUUGGAUGGUCCCGCGGCGUAUUAGCUAGAUGGUGGGGUAACGGCUCACCAUGGCAAUGAUACGUAGCCGACCUGAGAGGGUAAUCGGCCACAUUGGGACUGAGACACGGCCCAAACUCCUACGGGAGGCAGCAGUAGGGAAUCUUCCACAAUGGACGAAAGUCUGAUGGAGCAACGCCGCGUGAGUGAAGAAGGGUUUCGGCUCGUAAAACUCUGUUGUUAAAGAAGAACAUAUCUGAGAGUAACUGUUCAGGUAUUGACGGUAUUUAACCAGAAAGCCACGGCUAACUACGUGCCAGCAGCCGCGGUAAUACGUAGGUGGCAAGCGUUGUCCGGAUUUAUUGGGCGUAAAGCGAGCGCAGGCGGUUUUUUAAGUCUGAUGUGAAAGCCUUCGGCUCAACCGAAGAAGUGCAUCGGAAACUGGGAAACUUGAGUGCAGAAGAGGACAGUGGAACUCCAUGUGUAGCGGUGAAAUGCGUAGAUAUAUGGAAGAACACCAGUGGCGAAGGCGGCUGUCUGGUCUGUAACUGACGCUGAGGCUCGAAAGUAUGGGUAGCAAACAGGAUUAGAUACCCUGGUAGUCCAUACCGUAAACGAUGAAUGCUAAGUGUUGGAGGGUUUCCGCCCUUCAGUGCUGCAGCUAACGCAUUAAGCAUUCCGCCUGGGGAGUACGGCCGCAAGGCUGAAACUCAAAGGAAUUGACGGGGGCCCGCACAAGCGGUGGAGCAUGUGGUUUAAUUCGAAGCUACGCGAAGAACCUUACCAGGUCUUGACAUACUAUGCAAAUCUAAGAGAUUAGACGUUCCCUUCGGGGACAUGGAUACAGGUGGUGCAUGGUUGUCGUCAGCUCGUGUCGUGAGAUGUUGGGUUAAGUCCCGCAACGAGCGCAACCCUUAUUAUCAGUUGCCAGCAUUAAGUUGGGCACUCUGGUGAGACUGCCGGUGACAAACCGGAGGAAGGUGGGGAUGACGUCAAAUCAUCAUGCCCCUUAUGACCUGGGCUACACACGUGCUACAAUGGAUGGUACAACGAGUUGCGAACUCGCGAGAGUAAGCUAAUCUCUUAAAGCCAUUCUCAGUUCGGAUUGUAGGCUGCAACUCGCCUACAUGAAGUCGGAAUCGCUAGUAAUCGCGGAUCAGCAUGCCGCGGUGAAUACGUUCCCGGGCCUUGUACACACCGCCCGUCACACCAUGAGAGUUUGUAACACCCAAAGUCGGUGGGGUAACCUUU